rnacentral:rRNA from 1 species
GAAACGGGGUCUAAUACCGGAUAACACUCUGUCCCGCAUGGGACGGGGUUGAAAGCUCCGGCGGUGAAGGAUGAGCCCGCGGCCUAUCAGCUUGUUGGUGGGGUAAUGGCCUACCAAGGCGACGACGGGUAGCCGGCCUGAGAGGGCGACCGGCCACACUGGGACUGAGACACGGCCCAGACUCCUACGGGAGGCAGCAGUGGGGAAUAUUGCACAAUGGGCGAAAGCCUGAUGCAGCGACGCCGCGUGAGGGAUGACGGCCUUCGGGUUGUAAACCUCUUUCAGCAGGGAAGAAGCGAAAGUGACGGUACCUGCAGAAGAAGCGCCGGCUAACUACGUGCCAGCAGCCGCGGUAAUACGUAGGGCGCAAGCGUUGUCCGGAAUUAUUGGGCGUAAAGAGCUCGUAGGCGGCUUGUCACGUCGGAUGUGAAAGCCCGGGGCUUAACCCCGGGUCUGCAUUCGAUACGGGCUAGCUAGAGUGUGGUAGGGGAGAUCGGAAUUCCUGGUGUAGCGGUGAAAUGCGCAGAUAUCAGGAGGAACACCGGUGGCGAAGGCGGAUCUCUGGGCCAUUACUGACGCUGAGGAGCGAAAGCGUGGGGAGCGAACAGGAUUAGAUACCCUGGUAGUCCACGCCGUAAACGUUGGGAACUAGGUGUUGGCGACAUUCCACGUCGUCGGUGCCGCAGCUAACGCAUUAAGU